CUACGGGAGGCAGCAGUAGGGAAUCUUCCACAAUGGACGCAAGUCUGAUGGAGCAACGCCGCGUGAGUGAAGAAGGUUUUCGGAUCGUAAAGCUCUGUUGUUGGUGAAGAAGGACAUGGGUAGUAACUGAUCUAUGUUUGACGGUAAUCAACCAGAAAGUCACGGCUAACUACGUGCCAGCAGCCGCGGUAAUACGUAGGUGGCAAGCGUUGUCCGGAUUUAUUGGGCGUAAAGCGAACGCAGGCGGGAGAACAAGUCAGCUGUGAAAGCCCUCGGCUUAACCGAGGAACGGCAACUGAAACUGUUUUUCUUGAGUGCAGAAGAGGAGAGUGGAACUCCAUGUGUAGCGGUGAAAUGCGUAGAUAUAUGGAAGAACACCAGUGGCGAAGGCGGCUCUCUGGUCUGUAACUGACGCUGAGGUUCGAAAGCAUGGGUAGCGAACAGGAUUAGAUACCCUGGUAGUCCAUGCCGUAAACGAUGAGUGCUAAGUGUUGGGAGGUNUCCGCCUCUCAGUGCUGCANCUAACGCAUUAAGCUCCNCCGGGGAGUACNACCGCNAGGUUAAAACUCAAANGAAUUGACGGGGGGCCGCACAANCGGUG
rnacentral:rRNA from 1 species